GAUGAACGCUAGCUACAGGCUUAACACAUGCAAGUCGAGGGGUAACGAGAGGAAAGCUUGCUUUCCUUGUCGACGACCGGCGCACGGGUGAGUAACGCGUAUCCAACCUGCCCCCAACUAGGGAAUAACCUUGCGAAAGUAAGACUAAUACCCUAUAAUUUCCUCAGAUGUCAUCUGACGAGGAAUAAAGAUUUAUCGGUUGUGUAUGGGGAUGCGUCUGAUUAGCUUGUUGGCGGGGUAACGGCCCACCAAGGCAACGAUCAGUAGGGGUUCUGAGAGGAAGGUCCCCCACAUUGGAACUGAGACACGGUCCAAACUCCUACGGGAGGCAGCAGUGAGGAAUAUUGGUCAAUGGGCGGAAGCCUGGACCAGCCAAGUAGCGUGCAGGAUGACGGCCCUAUGGGUUGUAAACUGCUUUUAUACAGGAAUAAAGUUAGCCACGUGUGGUUAUUUGUAGGUACUGUAUGAAUAAGGACCGGCUAAUUCCGUGCCAGCAGCCGCCGUAA
rnacentral:rRNA from 1 species